GAUGAACGCUGGCGGCGUGCCUAAUACAUGCAAGUCGAGCGAACGGACGAGAAGCUUGCUUCUCUGAUGUUAGCGGCGGGCGGGUGAGUAACACGUGGAUAACCUACCUAUAAGGCUGGGAUAACUUCGGGAAACCGGAGCUAAUACCGGAUAAUAUUUUGAACCGCAUGGUUCAAAAGUGAAAGACGGUCUUGCUGUCACUUAUAGAUGGAUCCGCGCUGCAUUAGCUAGUUGGUAAGGUAACGGCUUACCAAGGCAACGAUGCAUAGCCGACCUGAGAGGGUGAUCGGCCACACUGGAACUGAGACACGGUCCAGACUCCUACGGGAGGCAGCAGUAGGGAAUCUUCCGCAAUGGGCGAAAGCCCGACGGAGCAACGCCGCGUGAGUGAUGAAGGUCUUCGGAUCGUAAAACUCUGUUAUUAGGGAAGAACAUAUGUGUAAGUAACUGUGCACAUCUUGACGGUACCUAAUCAGAAAGCCACGGCUAACUACGUGCCAGCAGCCGCGGUAAUACGUAGGUGGCAAGCGUUAUCCGGAAUUAUUGGGCGUAAAGCGCGCGUAGGCGGUUUUUUAAGUCUGAUGUGAAAGCCCACGGCUCAACCGUGGAGGGUCAUUGGAAACUGGAAAACUUGAGUGCAGAAGAGGAAAGUGGAAUUCCAUGUGUAGCGGUGAAAUGCGCAGAGAUAUGGAGGAACACCAGUGGCGAAGGCGACUUUCUGGUCUGUAACUGACGCUGAUGUGCGAAAGCGUGGGGAUCAAACAGGAUUAGAUACCCUGGUAGUCCACGCCGUAAACGAUGAGUGCUAAGUGUUAGGGGGUUUCCGCCCCUUAGUGCUGCAGCUAACGCAUUAAGCACUCCGCCUGGGGAGUACGACCGCAAGGUUGAAACUCAAAGGAAUUGACGGGGACCCGCACAAGCGGUGGAGCAUGUGGUUUAAUUCGAAGCAACGCGAAGAACCUUACCAAAUCUUGACAUCCUUUGACAACUCUAGAGAUAGAGCUUUCCCCUUCGGGGGACAAAGUGACAGGUGGUGCAUGGUUGUCGUCAGCUCGUGUCGUGAGAUGUUGGGUUAAGUCCCGCAACGAGCGCAACCCUUAAGCUUAGUUGCCAUCAUUAAGUUGGGCACUCUAAGUUGACUGCCGGUGACAAACCGGAGGAAGGUGGGGAUGACGUCAAAUCAUCAUGCCCCUUAUGAUUUGGGCUACACACGUGCUACAAUGGACAAUACAAAGGGCAGCGAAACCGCGAGGUCAAGCAAAUCCCAUAAAGUUGUUCUCAGUUCGGAUUGUAGUCUGCAACUCGACUACAUGAAGCUGGAAUCGCUAGUAAUCGUAGAUCAGCAUGCUACGGUGAAUACGUUCCCGGGUCU
rnacentral:rRNA from 1 species